GGCUCGGGACGACCCGCGCCGUUGAACUGCAUUCCGGGACGACCCGG
rnacentral:ncRNA from 1 species